rnacentral:lncRNA from 1 species
GUAUUUAGUAUGGGUGAACGUUCAUCAAGGUAUUAUGUGUGACAACCCGAACUUCCAAGGACGUGAUUGUUCAAUUGCUAAUCAAGUAGAUAACCUUACCGAGCAAACCUAAGGUCGUUAGGUGUUAAAGUGUACAAAAUGCGGGUUUAAGGAAGCUUGAAGGAUGCGAGAGGCUGGCGUGAUCGAGAUGUGUGGAAAUCAAGGAAAAUGGAGGAAUCGGAAGCAAAAGAUCACUCAGAGCCGUAAGCUACGCCACCAGGCCGUAGCUUACGGCCCCUAUAACCCACAAGAAGAAUGCACCGUAAAACAGGAGCACAAGGGCGUAUGGAACAACUGCUCACCGUAAGUGGCCGUAGCUUACGGCGCCGAUCGAGCCAAAAAUGUAACUGACACAUUAAAGAGCAUUUUGAAGACACUUUAUGAUGGCUAAUCAUGCUAGGUCGGUUACCACUUGAGGAAAACGAGUGGGGGACUAUUUAGGAGGCACUUGGGAGUUAAGAAAGACAUCUUUUUUUUGCAUAAUCUUUCACUAGAAUCAAGUGGGAAGAAUCUUG